UGAAUUCGCCUAUAAAAAUUUAAACUUCAAAAUAAAUAGUUUAUAAAUUGAUUUUUGAGUUUGCUGCUGUUUUGGUUCUUAAACUUAUGUUAUAAAUGAUUCAAAAAUCAUUGAAAAACAAAGACAAAAUUUACGGCGGUACAAUUUCAGAUAUUAGAACGAAGAAGAGAAGGAGCCAACAUACAUAAUAAUAAUGGGAGCGAGGCGGGCUGAAGAAGUUCCCUCCAAUCUACCAUUUCAAGCCCCUAUUGCAGUCAAAAAUGGCGAAAGGACUAUUUGCCUGAAAAUAAUUUAGACGGCAAAAAGUGUUCAUUUUGCCAUAAUCCUGAACCAAUUCAGGCAGCUCCACAAUACGUGUACAACCGUCAACCAGAAGCCCUAACUGUAGUGAGAGCGAUAGCUCCACCCCAUCUAGGAGAGGUCCCCUAAACACACCAAAUUACUUCAUAUUAGUGAAUAGCACCAACUUUCGGGGGUUUAAGUCAAGUCCAUUGGCCAAUCUUGACAGCAUACUAUAUGCUCUCUGAACGACCACACUCUAAAGGCUGGUACUACAUUCUUUUUUACGGAACAAUGUCCGCAAAUCGUUCUUACGGUGGUUUGACAAGGUUGAUUUUUUUUGGAGUCAUGGCCAAAAUGUUGCCAUUUACAAAUAAAAAUUAAUAUGGCAUUAAACAA